rnacentral:rRNA from 1 species
GAUGAACGCUGGCGGCAGGCUUAACACAUGCAAGUCGAGGGGCAGCGCGGGAUAGCAAUAUCCUGGCGGCGACCGGCGGAAGGGUGCGUAACGCGUGAGCGACAUGCCCGUUGCCCGGGGACAACCGGUGGAAACGCCGACUAAUCCCCGAUGGGAUAUUGUGCCGCAUGGCACGAUAUUGAAAGUUACGGCGGCGACGGAUUGGCUCGCGUCCGAUUAGCUUGUUGGCGGGGUAACGGCCCACCAAGGCUGCGAUCGGUAGGGGUUCUGAGAGGAAGGCCCCCCACAAUGGGACUGAGACGCGGCCCAUACUCCUACGGGAGGCAGCAGUGAGGAAUAUUGGUCAAUGGGCGGAAGCCUGAACCAGCCAUGCCGCGUGCGGGAAGGAGGCCCUAUGGGCUGUGAACCGCUUUUGCCUGGGGGCAAUAAGGGCGUCGCGCACGUCCGAUGAGAGUACCAGGCGAAUAAGCAUCGGCUAACUCCGUG